rnacentral:rRNA from 1 species
UACGUAGGGUGCAAGCGUUGUCCGGAAUUAUUGGGCGUAAAGAGUUCGUAGGCGGUUUGUCGCGUCCGUUGUGAAAGCUUGGGGGCUCAACCCCAAGUCUGCAGUGGAUACGGGCAGACUAGAGUCAGGUAGGGAGAACGGGAAUUCCUGGUGUAGCGGUGAAAUGCGUUGAUAUCAGGAGGAACACCCAUGGCGAAGGCAGCUAACUGGGCAUUGUCUGACGCUGAGGCGCGAAAGCUAGGGGAGCAAACAGGG